rnacentral:rRNA from 1 species
UACGUAGGGUGCGAGCGUUGUCCGGAAUUAUUGGGCGUAAAGAGCUCGUAGGCGGUUUGUUGCGUCGGCUGUGAAAUCCCGAGGCUCAACCUCGGGUCUGCAGUCGAUACGAGCAAACUAGAGUGUUGCAGGGGAGACUGGAAUUCCUGGUGUAGCGGUGAAAUGCGCAGAUAUCAGGAGGAACACCGAUGGCGAAGGCAGGUCUCUGGGCCACUACUGACGCUGAGAAGCGAAAGCAUGGGGGAGCGAACAGG